rnacentral:rRNA from 1 species
CAGAGGGUGCAAACGUUGUUCGGAAUUACUGGGCGUAAAGCGUGUGUAGGCGGCUUUGUAAGUCGGAUGUGAAAGCCCCGGGCUCAACCUGGGAAGUGCACUCGAAACUGCAAAGCUUGAGUAUCGGAGAGGUCGGUGGAAUUCUCGGUGGAGAGGUGAAAUUCGUAGAUAUCGAGGGGAACACCAGUGGCGAAGGCGGCCGACUGGACGAAUACUGACGCUGAGACACGAAAGCGUGGGGAGCAAACAGGAUUAGAUACCCUGGUAGUCCACGCCGUAAACGAUGGGUGCUAGGUGUCACGGGCUUUGACUCUCGUGGCGCCGUAGCUAACGCGUUAAGCACCCCGCCUGGGAAGUACGGCCGCAAGGCUA